rnacentral:rRNA from 1 species
ACGCUUGAAGUCAGUCACGUCUGCCAGGACUCAGCCUUGCUUCUGCUUGGUGUACUUUCUGGUUUGAUGGGCCAACAUCAAUUUUGACCGUUGGAGAAAGGCUUUGGGAAUGUGGCACCUUUGGGUGUGUUAUAGCCCUUUGUUGUAUACAGCGGUUGGGAUUGAGGACUGCAGCACGCCUUUAUGGCCGGGGUUUUGCCCACGUACGUGCUUAGGAUGUUGGCAUAAUGGCUUUAAGCGACCCGUCUUGAAACACGGACCAAGGAGUC